CAACCUGCGAAGCAGAAGGUGGCGCUAAUUUGCACACUACACUGAUUCCUUACCGCUCUUUGGAAAAACACAGAAGAAGAAAAGUUUGAACAACGCAGCAAGGCGGGAAGCAGCAGACAGUAGGGUUGCAGAAACUACCUACGCAGCAGCAAUCAGCCUCACUGGACUUACUUUUCAGAUCAGUUUAUGCCUUUGCAUCUUGCUGUUCCAGUUUCAAGAAGUUAAGGAAGAUAACUGGAGAUGUGAUAACGAUACCAGCAAAAAUUGUUGAAGAAGACUGAGAAGAA